rnacentral:precursor_RNA from 12 species
AGACAAUGUAGUAAAUAUCUGAUGAUGAUAGUAGUCAUUGAUUCAGAAGACACGUUGAUAGAUCUGUCACUGGGUUAAUGACCGCCAUCAUUGCAGACAAAUUUCAACGUCACAAUA